rnacentral:rRNA from 1 species
GUGUCAGCAGCCGCGGUAAUACGAAGGACCCAAGCGUUAUCCGGAUUUAUUGGGUUUAAAGGGUGCGUAGGCGGGUUGUUAAGUCAGUGGUGAAAGCUCCGAGCCCAACUCGGAAACUGCCAUUGAUACUGACGAUCUUGAGUACAUUUGAGGUGGGCGGAAUGUGUCAUGUAGCGGUGAAAUGCUUAGAGAUGACACAGAACACCGAUUGCGAAGGCAGCUCACUAAACUGUAACUGACGCUGAGGCACGAAAGCGUGGGGAGCAAACAGGAUUAGAUACCCUUGUAGUCC